UACGUAGGGUGCAAGCGUUAAUCGGAAUUACUGGGCGUAAAGCGUGCGCAGGCGGUUUUGUAAGUCUGACGUGAAAGCCCCGGGCUUAACCUGGGAAUUGCGUUGGAGACUGCAAGGCUUGAAUCUGGCAGAGGGGGGGGUAGAAUUCCACGUGUAGCAGUGAAAUGCGUAGAGAUGUGGAGGAACACCGAUGGCGAAGGCAGCCCCCUGGGUCAAGAUUGACGCUCAUGCACGAAAGCGUGGGGAGCAAACAGG
rnacentral:rRNA from 1 species